ACCGGGAAACUGGGUCUUUCUUCGGACGAUCUACAAGGUGCUGCAUGGCUGUCGUCAGCUCGUGCCGUGAGGUGUCGGGUUAAGUCCCAUAACGAGCGCAACCCUUAUCAUUAGUUGCCAGCGGGUAAUGCCGGGGACUCUAAUGAAACUGCCGGUGUAAACCGAGAGGAAGGUGGGGAUGACGUCAAGUCAGCACGGCCCUUAUGUCCAGGGCUACACACGUGUUACAAUGGUCGGUACAAAGGGCAGCUACCAGGCGACUGGAUGCUAAUCUCGAAAGCCGAUCUCAGUUCGGAUCGGAGUCUGCAACUCGACUUCGUGAAGCUGGAUUCGCUAGUAAUCGCGCAUCAGCCAUGGCGCGGUGAAUACGUUCCCGGGCCUUGUACACACCGCCCGUCAAGCCAUGGAAGCCGGGGGUACCUGAAGUCCGUAACCGCAAGGAGCGGCCUAGGGUAAAACUGGUGACUGGGGCUAAGUCGUAACAAGGUAACCAAGGGCGAA
rnacentral:rRNA from 1 species